rnacentral:rRNA from 1 species
UACAGAGGUCUCAAGCGUUGUUCGGAUUCAUUGGGCGUAAAGGGUGCGUAGGCGGCGCGGUAAGUCGGGUGUGAAAUCUCGGAGCUUAACUCCGAAACUGCAUUCGAUACUGCGGUGCUUGAGGACUGGAGAGGAGACUGGAAUUCAUGGUGUAGCAGUGAAAUGCGUAGAGAUCAUGAGGAAGACCAGUGGCGAAGGCGGGUCUCUGGACAGUUCCUGACACUGAGGCACGAAGGUCAGGGGAGCAAACGGG